rnacentral:rRNA from 1 species
UUAGAGUUUGAUCCUGGCUCAGGAUGAACGCUAGCGGCAGGCUUAACACAUGCAAGUCGAGGGGCAGCGGGUGUAGCAAUACAUGCCGGCGACCGGCGCAAGGGUGCGUAACGCGUGAGCAAUCUGCCCGUAUCAGGGGGAUAAGCGAUGGAAACGUCGUCUAAUACCGCAUAACACCAAUGAUGGCAUCAUCGAUGGUUGAAAGCUUCGGUGGAUACGGAUGAGCUCGCGAGACAUUAGUUAGUUGGCGGGGUAACGGCCCACCAAGACCGCGAUGUCUAGGGGAACUGAGAGGUUGGUCCCCCACACUGGAACUGAGACACGGUCCAGACUCCUACGGGAGGCAGCAGUGAGGAAUAUUGGACAAUGGCCGGAAGGCUGAUCCAGCCAUGCCGCGUGAAGGAAUAAGGUCCUAUGGAUUGUAAACUUCUUUUGUACGAGAGCAAUAAGUGUCACGAGUGACACGAUGAGAGUAUCGUACGAAUAAGCAUCGGCUAACUCCGUGCCAGCAGCCGCGGUAAUACGGAGGAUGCGAGCGUUAUCCGGAUUUAUUGGGUUUAAAGGGUGCGUAGGCGGGAUUUUAAGUCAGCGGUGAAACGCAAGGGCUCAACCCUUGACCUGCCGUUGAAACUGGAGUUCUUGAAUGCGGAUGCUGUGGGAGGAAUGUGUGGUGUAGCGGUGAAAUGCAUAGAUAUCACACAGAACACCGAUUGCGAAGGCAUCUCACAAAUCCGUGAUUGACGCUGAGGCACGAAAGUGUGGGUAUCGAACAGGAUUAGAUACCCUGGUAGUCCGCACGGUAAACGAUGGAUGCUCGCUGUCGGCGAUACAUUGUCGGCGGCCUAGUGAAAGCAUUAAGCAUCCCACCUGGGGAGUACGCCGGCAACGGUGAAACUCAAAGGAAUUGACGGGGGCCCGCACAAGCGGAGGAACAUGUGGUUUAAUUCGAUGAUACGCGAGGAACCUUACCCGGGCUUGAAUUGCAGGUUUUGGACCAGAGAUGGUCUUUUCCCUUCGGGGUGCCUGUGAAGGUGCUGCAUGGUUGUCGUCAGCUCGUGCCGUGAGGUGUCGGCUUAAGUGCCAUAACGAGCGCAACCCCUUUCAUUAGUUGCCAUCACUUCGGGUGGGCACUCUGGUGAUACUGCCACCGUAAGGUGUGAGGAAGGUGGGGAUGACGUCAAAUCAGCACGGCCCUUACGUCCGGGGCUACACACGUGUUACAAUGGGUGAUACAGAUGGCCGGUUCACGGCAACGUGGAUCAAAUCUUGAAAGUCAUCCUCAGUUCGGAUAGGGGUCUGCAACCCGACCCCACGAAGCUGGAUUCGCUAGUAAUCGCGCAUCAGCCAUGGCGCGGUGAAUACAAUGCCGGGCCUUGCACUCACCGCCCGUCAAG